AGAUGCCAAAGAGAGCUCACACGGCUUAAAGAUCCCUUCAGGCCGGAGCAGCCGGCGCUGAACGAGAAGUUUGAGAAACGAGGGGGAAAGCCGCAGUCCGUCUGCACACAAACGCCCGCGAGCGAACCUCCCCACAGCGCCCGCAGCUCCCGCCGGCGCCUUCGCCCCCCGACGCCCCCCGAAAUGGCGGCGGUGCGGCCGGGAUAGGGGGUCCCCUUGGAGCCGCCUCUCCGCCCAGGCCUCCCCGCACAGUCACGGAAGGAGCCGGGCCGGGCGGAGCCGCCUUCGCUCACCUGAGCCCCGUGCGAGCAGCGAGGCCUCAGCCCUCCGGCGGCUGCAGGACAGCGGUGCCCGCGGCCGGCAGCGCCCGGGAGGUGACGGAGAGCGACCCGGGCGGCAGCGGCCCAUCCGCGACGCCAAGCUGCGGGCACCUGCGGGCCGCCCGCCCCGCUCCUCCCCGCCGGGCCCGGCCACGCCCGGGGCUGAGGGUGAGGCACGGGCGGCAGCGCCGCAGGGGGAGGCGGCGUUGGGCGCGGCGCUGAGGUGAAGGGCGGUGGCGGGGCAGGCCGGGGCCGGAGGACAGCUUCUGGGCUGAGUCCGAACUGGUCGGAAGAAUGGACAGAAGUGGCACCUGUGGGGGUGGUUUCCCUCCUCAGACUGAAUCUGUUUCAGUAUUUUCUCCCUGACUUUUGAGCUUCAGUUUCAGCACAAGCACCUUUUUGUCUCUCUGGUGUAAGUCUGGAGACUGUGGUUUUGCAUAGAAAACACGAGGAUUGCCUGCCAACAGAGAACGAGUAGCACACUGCAUUGCUUUGCUGUUCGAGGUGAAAGCGUUGGAAUGAGCAAUGCUGUGGAGCGUGCUUCGCUUUCAUAUGACACUGAGUUUAUUAAUAAAACAGAUGACCCUUGUCAUGAAAUGAGAAUGUAUGCUUCAACACAGUCAAACCAAGUCCAGUCGGGGGUGAUUUCAGCCCAUCUCAUCAAGCUGUUUUUCUUCUGCGUGGAAAGCAUCCAAUGCGUAAAAUGAACUGUGAAAUAUCUUUCCACGUGUUUAGGUAACUGUAUGUGAAUUCCGCAGCAGCUGUGAUUCACUCAUCUUCAUUCCACAUACUCCCUCUG
rnacentral:lncRNA from 1 species